UUCGACUUCCACAACAAUCAAAAAAAAAAAAAAAAAAAAAUUUGAAAACCCAUUUUCUUCCCUAAACCGCUUCAACUCUCACCAUAGACUCAAUGACAUGUUCUGGUUUGAAAGGAUCCAAUUAAAAUGUUAGCUCUCGUUCUCUGUUGUAGCGCUAUUUCCAUUUCGACCGUGAUCGUUAUGUGGUUCUGCACAAAUUCCUUUCCUCGACCACCACAAUCUCCCGAAUCGCCACCGGCCCCUCCUUCACCCAUGAACAUCUCGCUUCCGAAUGAAGCCCUUCUUCAUCAGCAGCUUUGAAAUAAUCAUGAGUGAGUCUCCUUCAACUUUGACUUUUCAAAACCCCAUCUCUUGGGCAAAUUGGACGGCCUAAACGACCUCUAAAGCUUCAGUUACCUCCACAGACGGUCGUUGUAAAAUCCCCCGUCGAAGUUAACCUUGACCUACCGAUUUGUUGGGGGCUACCACCUUUCUGUUUCCUUAGUCACGUUUCUCGGUUUCUAGAAAGCCCCGCAACAGGAGCCAAUACCCACUGUGCACUGUAUACUCUCCAUAUUUCUCGAAUCACCAUCUUAACCUGUUCGGUAACCCGUACUGCACCAAUGGGAUACUCAGUGUUCUCUUAGCUUCCCGAUCAUUAAAGGUGACAUUGACUACACUCUCCUUCCAUUUCCCACUCUGUUCGCCAAUUUCAUCAGAUACAAAAUUUACCUCAUUAACUUGUGAUGAUCUAAUUAUGUAGGGUCUGUCUCUAGGCAACUAAGCUACAUCUCAAACUGGUAUUGAUUUUCCAUCGCCAACUUAGGCUUUUUUACGCAAACAAUACAAAAAAACUAAUUAAAUACCAAAUUGGUAUUUCAAUGGCAUUAUUUACGAAAAUAGUAUAGAUUGAACAGUGUCGGGGGUGUAGAGAGAUAGGGUGGCAGCACCACCAUUAUUUUUCCACCCAAUUGUAAGCCCAUCAUUAGCUCGUGAUUUGAUUAAAAAAACUAAUUUUAAUGGUAGAGGGGGUACGGGUGGCAGCACAUGUAAUUUAUACCUAUACACGAGUGAAAACUGAGUUAAAAUACGGGUUGGAGGGGUGAAGGGCAUGUGUCAGGCGACACUCAGGUGGAGGGCAUUUGAUAGGCAGCACCUAGGUGGAAGUGACAACCAAGCCCAGAGACGAGGAAAAAAAUUUUGUAGAAGAAGAGAAAACAAAGAAAAAUUCGUAAUGUUAGUACAUAUGAAUUGUAAUUUUUUUACAGUAUAUAAUUUUUUAAAUAACUUAUUUGGAAAUUUAAUUAUUUUUACAGAUUUAAUAUUAAAAAAGGAUAAUCAAUUCUUCAUAUGCGUUUAUUUCGAUGGAGUAAUUUUGAUAAUAACAGUUAGAUGUAUAUUUAAAUGUCACUAACAAAUAGUAAUGAGAUUUAAUAGAAAUAUGUCGGUUGAUAAUAUGAAAGAAUGGAUCAGUGCAAAAAUUGUUAGACAUUGUGGGAGGAGGAUCUCAAAACUAUUCUACAAAUUAACAAUGUCGACAAAUCCCACCAAAUUCACUGAGAUAAAACUUGUAAACGAUGAAGAUGUGGAGACAAUAGUCGCACUUUAUUGCUGGAAUUAGAGCGAUCACACUGAACUGAUUCAGUUGCUUGCUGAGUUAGCUGAUAUGGACCCACUUGAAGAUUUCAUUCCAUUAAGUGAAGAAUAUAGAGUUCAAGAUCCAUGUACGGAGGUUCUGGGAGCGUUCGUUGAUAGGCGAUCGAUUGUAUGGAAGUUUGACAUCAAUCUUAAUGCUCCACCUGCAUAUGAAAACCUUAAUCCGGGUUCUCGUUUACAAAUACAUCCGGUGGUGAUUGAGAUCGAUACAGAUGGUGGUGAUAGAUAUGAUAAUAAUGGUCCUUCUGAUCAUGAUAUUGAAGAUUACAGUGAUCCCGAUCUAGACAAAGUCUGGAAUGAUAUCGAUGACGAAUGCGCGAAUGGAAGUGGAAAUGCUAAUGUGCCUUCAGUCGUGAACCCAGGUCGAGGUAUUAUGAUACGCAAUGAUCCUAAAGAACACAUGUCGAUCAUUAAUCACGAUACGGUGCGUGCAUCCGAGUUCCCAGAGUUCCCUCGAUAAACUAUAUGCGCACCGAUUAGCCGCAGAUCUCGAACAUGAAGAGUUGUUUUUGGGAAAAAAAUUGGUGACCAAGGAAGACUGCGUACUUUCCAUUAAGUGGUAUAGCAUGAAUGUGUUGGAUGGCUACAAAGUUGCUGCCUAAACUGACAUUUCAUAUUGGAGAGUGUUGGAAGUAGGUAGAAGGGUGUAACUGGCGGGUACGAGCCGUAUUUAUCCAAAGGUUGCAAAUGUGGGAGAUCCAAAAAUUUGUUGGGCCUCACACAUGCACUUCUACACUUAUGACGCAAGACCACCACAAACUUGAUGCCAAAAUUAUCUGCUACUACAUCAUGCCAAUGGUGAAGGACAUGUCGACCAUUUUUGUUUCAGUACUGAUUGCUCAAAUGCAAGAACGAUUCUAAUACCGAGUGUCAUAUCAUAAAGUAUGGAUAGCUAAAUAGAUUAUCAUAAAGCAGUUGUAUGGAGAUUAAAAUGUGUCAUAUAAUGAACUACAAGGGUAGAUAGUCGCUACGCGAUAGUACAUGUCAGGGACUGUCAUUGCGUUGCAAACAUGACAUUAUUACGACCCAGACGACCAACUACAACAGAGAAGAAGAAUUUUCCACCGGAUGUUCUGGACGUUCGAUCCAUACGUGCGGGGCUUUUCCCACUGCAAGUCAUUUGCGUAGGUUGAUGGAACUUGACUAUAUGGAAAAUAUACGCAAAUCUUACUUAUUACAGUUAUUCAAGACGAGAAUCAAAAUUUCUCCAAUAGGGUUUGCCAUUGUGGAGUCAGAGUUAAUGGAAUCAUGGGAAUUCUUCCUUAUAAACUUGCGAAUGUAUAUUGUUAGAGACGACAAUAUUUGCAUCAUAUAUGAUAGAUCAAACAGACUAAUUGUCGCGGUUAGGCGUUCCAGUGUUUCGUGGAGAUCCGUUUACUACAUCCGACACAUAGCCUCUAACUUCCAUCGAGACUACAAGAAUGCAGACUGGCGAAAACAAGUUGUGAACAUGGUUCAAAUUCGAUAUCAACAUAUUUUUGUAAUGUUAUUAAUACUUUAAAAAAUUAAUUCAAAAAUUUAACUUGUCUUUUCAAAAUACAUACGUAGCGUAUAAGCUAGAACAACACUGUUUAAGGCAAAAGCUAACUAGACUUGAAGGUGACAUGUAAAGUGAAACGAAUACUCCUUUCCGAGAGUGGUUAGGUACUAUAGAGCUGUGCCAAUGGGCUCAAAGUUUUGAUGACGGGUCUUAAUAUGGUCAUAUGACCACCAACCUAGCAGAGGCGAUUAACUCAAUCUUGAAGCGAACAUGACAUUCUAAUUUCAUCUGUUUUCUCAGCUACGUUCUACAGGUUGACGACCUUGAUACCAAGAAUGAGGCUGAAACAAGUAAACCAGAUGGAAGCGAGACACGUGUUUUUCGAGGUCAGGAAGGCAAUGGAUGCGAACCGUCAAAGAUCGAGGUUGAUGAAUAUAGAAAUAUAUUGUCAAUAAUUAGAAACUUUUCGAGUUAUGGAGUCCAUCGACCGUCGACUGGGUAUCCUACCUAGGUCCUAUGGAGUUGAUCUCUGAAAUAGACGGUGCGGUUGCGGGAAGUUCUAGACACUUCGUCACCCUUGUACGCACAUAAUGUAACAUCCCAUUUUUUAGUGACAUAAAAAAUAGUGGUUUCGGGACCACAAUUUUGACAAGUGAGUUAGUAUUAUAUUAUUUAUUUAAUAUUUAUAGAGUUAAUAUUGAGUCGUAUUAAAUUUUAGUAAAGAAAUUCUAAUGAUUAAUUUGUUAAUUUACUAAAAAGGACUAAAUUGUAAAAGUUGUAACAAUUAGUUCUAAUAAUUAAAGAUGUUAAAUAAUUAUAGAUUUAUAAAGUGAUAGGCUUAAUUGGUAAUUAAACCAUCACUAAUUAUAGUGGAUAGGUAUGGGCUUGAAAUUGUUAAAUGUUUGAUAUUAAAUAAAAUGGUAAAAUUGUAAUUGAGUAAAUAAAUGAAUUUUAAACAGAACAUGAUGGAAAAUUUAUCAUGUUCUUUCUUUCACCCUUUCCAAACCGAAACACCAUAGAUGAACUAGAGAAACUUUCGGCCAAGCUUAGGGAUGCAUGCAUGGUAGGUUUUUUACUUCUGUUUUUAGUAAUUUUUACAUUUUUGAGAUCGUUGCAACUAGGUCCUGUUAACUCAGGUGUUAAUUUACAAAAUUGUUAAAUGUUCUGACAUGUGCCAUUAUUGAAUUUAUGAGAUUUUUGAAGUUUUAUGAUAGUUUUGUAAGCUUGAUAGAUAAAUAAUAUUAUUUUGUAAAGUAAUUUUUAUUGAUUUGGAUGAUUAAGGAUUUAUUUGUUAAAGUUGUAAAAUCUCAUGAAAAUUUUGUGAAAUAGAUAAAUAUAUGGGCUAUUCAUGGGAUAUAUGAAAAUCGGCAAGCUUGAUUUAAGCUUAAUUGUGCUCAAUUCGAUAGUUUCAAGUUUAGGGACUAAAAUAUAUAAAAGGUAAAGUUUAGGGGUAAAUUUGUAAGUGCGACAAAAAAAUACUUCAAUGCAUAAUUAAUAGUUUAUUUGGUUUGAAUUAAUUUAAUUAAACUAAACUCUACUUUAGAUCAAGAAUCUCAACGAGUGGAGGAUGUAUGAGGAAAAAAGAAAAAUUAUUGAUUAGUCUCUAAUAGUCGAAUCAUCUUACAGGUAAGUUCAUAUGGUUACCUUUAGUUAUAGUUCAUUAUUAAUUGAUGUUAAUGAUGAUUAUAUAUAUUUUUUAAAAUUUUGGAAAUGAAAUUGAUUUAUGUGAAAUAUCAUGAAUCUCUGAAGUGAUUUCGAUGGAUCGAGUAAAAGUUUCAUACAUGAGAUUUCUGACUGAAUUUCUAUUUUGGACUGAGCUCCUGCAUGUGUUGCGAACUUGGAUAUACAUGUGACUUGGAUUUAGCCUGGACUGGUAAUCUGUUGUCAUUUUAAAGGUUUAACCUGGGUUGGUAAUCUUACAUGUAUAUAUAGCCUUGGCCAGGCUAUUUUUUUGUAUUGUGAUUGGUUUAGCCCGGACGGGUAACCUGACACAAUUAUUUUGUAUCUGAUUAGCUCAUACGAGCAUCAUCUAUUUUUUGACUUAUGUAUUGAAUAUUUUUACAAAGAUCCAUCAGAAGAAUAAAGAUUAAUUGAUACAUAAUUGUUUCAAUGAAAUAAAUGAAUUACAAAUUUUGUAUGUUUAAAUGUUUACUGUCCGUGAAGUUGUUGAAUCAUAUUGUGAUAAGGUUUUUACUUGAAAUGCUAUACGCAUUUAACAAUUAAAUGUGUAUGGUAAGUUAGUAAAUUGAAGUGUCUGAACCUACUAAG